AUAUUAUAUAUUAUAUAAAUAAGUAAAGAAACAUAAGAAACAGAAUAGAAGAAACGAAACAGAGAAGAAAUAGAGGAGAAAGAAAGAAAGAAAAGAAAAAGGUUUGAAGCUUUAAGCUUUAAUAGUCAAUGUGGUACCGGAAAUCUCGGCUAAGAAAGGACAAGACAAAGUCAACGGGAGUUAGCUCUAAAAUUACGGUUGAGUAAAGAUAGUACGUUGAAUCAGCAUCCCAAGACGAUCCCGAAUUCAUUAAGGUAAAGUAUGUCGAGUAUUGAUAAUGGCAUGUACCUAGGACGUUUUAUGAGAGUCAUUUAGGUUAUAGAAGUACUGAUGAAAUGAGUAAAUUAUGGUUGGCAACGGUAUGUAGUAUGAAUUUUGAAAUUUACUAAAAAAAAAAAAAUUCGUAGUGAUUCUAAA